GACGAACGCUGGCGGCGUGCUUAACACAUGCAAGUCGAACGGAAAGGCCCUGCUUUUGUGGGGUGCUCGAGUGGCGAACGGGUGAGUAACACGUGAGUAACCUGCCCUUGACUUUGGGAUAACUUCAGGAAACUGGGGCUAAUACCGGAUAGGAGCUCCUGCUGCAUGGUGGGGGUUGGAAAGUUUCGGCGGUUGGGGAUGGACUCGCGGCUUAUCAGCUUGUUGGUGGGGUAGUGGCUUACCAAGGCUUUGACGGGUAGCCGGCCUGAGAGGGUGACCGGGCACAUUGGGACUGAGAUACGGACCAGACUCCUACGGGAGGCAGCAGUGGGGAAUAUUGCACAAUGGGAGGAAGCCUGAUGCAGCAACGCCGCGUGCGGGAUGACGGCCUUCGGGUUGUAAACCGCUUUCGCCUGUGACGAAGCGUGAGUGACGGUAAUGGGUAAAGAAGCACCGGCUAACUACGUG
rnacentral:rRNA from 1 species